CAGUCGAACGUGAAACCCGGGCUUGCCCGGGUGGAAAGUGGCGAACGGGUGCGUAACACGUGAGGAACGUGCCCCGAAGACCGGGAUAACUCGAGGAAACUCGUGCUAAUACCGGAUGUCCUCACCGGAUCGCAUGGUCUGGUGAGGAAAUGGAUUCCGCUUCGGGAUCGCCUCGCGGCCUAUCAGCUUGUUGGUGGGGUAAUGGCCUACCAAGGCAACGACGGGUAGCUGGUCUGAGAGGAUGUCCAGCCACACUGGGACUGAGACACGGCCCAGACUCCUACGGGAGGCAGCAGUGGGGAAUCUUGCACAAUGGGCGAAAGCCUGAUGCAGCGACGCCGCGUGCGGGAUGAAGGCCCUCGGGUCGUAAACCGCUUUCAGCAGGGACGAUAGUGACGGUACCUGCAGAAGAAGCCCCGGCCAACUACGUGCCAGCAGCCGCGGUAAUACGUAGGGGGCAAGCGUUGUCCGGAUUUAUUGGGCGUAAAGAGCUCGUAGGCGGUUCGAUAAGUCGGGUGUGAAAUCUCCAGGCUCAACCUGGAGGCGCCACUCGAUACUGUCGUGACUUGAGUUCGGUAGAGGAGUAUGGAAUUCCCGGUGUAGCGGUGAAAUGCGCAGAUAUCGGGAGGAACACCCGUAGCGAAGGCGGUACUCUGGGCCGAGACUGACGCUGAGGAGCGAAAGCGUGGGGAGCGAACAGGAUUAGAUACCCUGGUAGUCCACGCCGUAAACGUUGGGCACUGGUGUGGGGAUCUAUCGACGGUUUCCGUGCCGUAGCUAACGCAUUAAGUGCCCC
rnacentral:rRNA from 1 species